rnacentral:rRNA from 1 species
AUUCUCUAGGUACCUUCAACAGCGGAUGAAUCCACUGAUUUAUUCCCUAGCUAAAGGAGUUUACAACCCAUAGGGCCUUAUUCCUCCACGCGGGAUGGCUGGAUCAGAGUUGCCUCCAUUGUCCAAUAUUCCUUACUGC